UGGAUUGGGAGUUCGAGUGGGUGGAGAGGUCUGAGGGACGGGAUCUUGAUGCGAACGAGGGAGAGUUGUAGGAAAAUGAAGGUGAGGGUCUCGGGGAGGUGCAGGGACUGCUGUUGGAUAGAGUGGAUAGGGGAAGCAAUCCAUGGCAUGAUGGCUGUUACAGCAAGCAAUUAGUAGUUUCUGUGCUGAACUGGAAUCUCAGAGGCAGUGCCCUCAGUGGGAGAGGGCAGUGAUGGGACCUGCUUGGAGUUCCUAUCCCACAGUACACACAGCUGCAUGAGUUAGGCAUGGGAUCAGUUCAGCAAAAGAAAUUACAGCAGUGUUUAUACAUACGUCCUGGGGCUCCAGUCACGGAGCUGCGGAGCUACUCACCAUCACGGAGCUGGCCGAGUCCGGAGCGGGAGGAGCGGUGGUGGCGCGCUGCUGCGACCCGACCCUCGGAGAUUCGGAGGCUUACCGCAGGUCUGGUGGACAGUGACACCGGGAGCCCGCGGGUCCCUGCUGGGAGACCGCUUUUCGGGGCUUCCGCAACGGCGACUUCUCCCGCCCGAGUAGCGGGGUCGAGGAUGACCUGGAGCGGGGCCUUACAUCAUCGCCCGGCGUGGCUUCAACGGCUGCGGGACUUUGGCAGCGCCCGCCCGGGGGCUCCAACAAGACCCGGAGCGCGGCCUUGCAUCACCCGGCGCGGAGUUAAUGGCCGCGGGACAAUUGUUAUCGCCCGCCGGGGGCUCUGACUUUGACUGACAUCGGGGGGAGAGGGAAGUGCAGGGGAGAGAUACGUUUUUUUUGCAUUCCAUCACAGCGAGGUGGAGAUGCGCUGUGAUGGAUGUCUGUGUAAAUUGUGUUGUGUCUUGGGUCUUUUUUUUUUCUUGUAUGUAUGACUGCAGAAAACAACAUUUCACUUGAGCCUCUAUGAGGUUCAAGUGACAAUUAAAUUGUAUUGUAUUGUAUUGUAGUCCCCCGCAGUUCCUUUUGGACACUACAAUUGUGCCUGCCUCAAUUACUGCCCCAGUAAUGCAUUCAGACUUGAAUCACAGGCUGUGUACAAAAGCUGUGUCUCAUGUCAUAGAAUGAUACAGCAUGAAAUGGCCCAACUUGUCCACCUUUGUGGUACCAUUGGCACUCUUCUGUAUUAAUCCCAUCUCACAGCACUUGGUCCAUGACCUUCAUCGCCAAGCCGAUUCUGGUAGUCAAGUAGUUAACUAGCACAACUUAAAUGCUGUCAGUGACCUAACUUUAAUCACUCUCUCAGGCAAUACAUUCCAGGCACUUACAACUCUCUGGAUGAAGAAGGUCUCCCUCAUAUCCCUCUAAAUCUUUUACCACAUCCUAACCUAAUUAUCAUGCCUCCCAUAUCCAUAUUCAUGUUAUAUGUGAAUAUUACAAACAUCAAUGAUCCCAACAGUGUAACCACAGGCAUUCAAUUACAGAAUUCCUGAGGAGACUGAAGAAGGUCCAUCUGUCUGCUCAGAUCCUGGUGAACUUCUACCGCUGCACCAUCGAGAGCAUCCUUACCAACUGCAUCACAGUAUGGUAUGGCAACUGCUCUGUCUCCGACCGGAAGGCAUUGCAGAGGGUGGUGAAAAUUGCCCAACGCAUCACCGGUUCCUUGCUCCCCUCCAUUGAGUCUGUCCAAAGCAAGCGCUGUCUGCGGAGGGCGCUCAGCAUCGCCAAGGACUGCUCUCACCCCAACCAUGGACUGUUUACCCUCCUACCAUCCGGGAGGCGCUACAGGUCUCUCCGUUGCCGAACCAGCAGGUCGAGGAACUGCUUCUUUCCGGCGGCUGUCACUCUACUCAACAACGUACCUCGGUGACUGCCAAUCACCCCCCCCGGACACUUAUUAUUAUUUAUUCAAAUCGUUUGCUAUGUCGCUCUUCAAGGGAGAUGCUAAAUGCAUUUCGUUGUCUCUGUACUGUACACUGACAAUGGCAAUUUAAAUUGAAUCUGAAUCUGAAUCUGAAACAACCAUUUACCAACACUCUCUGUCUCCUAUUGUCAAGCCAAUCCUGGAAGCAGUUUGCCAGCUUACCUUGGAUACCAUGGGUCCAUCGUGUCCCCUCAUCCCACUGCUCACAUCUGCUCACUCCCCCCUCCCCACUUAUUUAGUUACAAAGUCCAUCUUCCUUUCCCAUUGGAUUCCAACAUGUUCAGCCCCAGGUAACCUCCACUUACCACAUACCAACCUCUAUUGUUAUUUUUACUCCUUUCUCUCACCUGACACCAUCUACCACACCUCACCUGGAUCUAUAAACCACGUGGCAGCUCUUUCCCCAGCCUCUUCACCUCUUUGUACUGGCUACCUUCACACCAUUUGGAAAAAACCU